AACUACACCCUGGGCCCCUGUGGGCUAAGUGUUGGGGCCACGCAGGGAACAAGACAAACAGGUCCAGGACCCGAGCAAGGGCUGCCGGGCGCCCCGACUUCGACAGCGACGGGGACCCACGCUUGGGGUCAGGCUGCGCUUCCCUGUGUCACUGUGUGCUGUGCCCCACCAGUGGACUGGGUCCAUCUCGGCCGCCUUGGUCAUUACCACAGGGAUUCAUGACGUCCUGCUCAUUGAGUGAACGGAUAGGUAGAUGAAUGGACACACGGACGGCUCCAUCUGGCACUACUCCUCACAUCUUGUCCAAUGGAGGUGGGCGGACUUCAAGGCCCGUAUUGGAGCAACAGACACCCUGUUCUGUGCAGACAGCUCACGGCCACCUUCUGGGCAGAGUGGCUACGCCCUCCUCUGGGCCCUUGGCACCUUUCCUCCCGUCUGAUACAGGCCUGGCUGCAGCACGUCACCCGUUGGAGCUUGACCUGCCCGUCUCCUUCGGAAUGUACCGCCCUCUUUUCUGCGUACCUCUGGCCACUAGCUCAGGCCUGGCACCUCCUACUACAGGCACCUGCUCAACAUAAUGUAUUUUCUUUUGAGGACGAAGGAAUGAAUGAAUGAAGAUUCAAAGACUCUGCCCUCAAGGGGCUUACAGUUUCCCUGGGCCUAUGACAUAAAAGCAAUAAGAGAGGGAGGAGAUCGGUUGCUGGCUCCUGUGUCGUCAUCAACCGGGAAGACGGACAGACACCCGCGAUGCCGGGUUUCCCUGAUGCACGUCCGAUCAAUUCCUCCGUCACGGAAACUGGGUCCCAGCACGAAAGAAACCAAGAGCCCAAGAAAGAGGCAUUCCUAGGCUUAGGAGCCUUUGUCAUUAAUUUGUCAUCUACCGGGGAGCCUGGGUGGCUCAGUUGGCUAAGCGUCCGACUUCGGCUCGGGUCAUGAUUUCGCGGUUCGUGAGUUCGAGCCCCGCGUCGGGCUCUGUGCUGACAGUGAGGAGCCUGCUUGAGAUUCUCUCUCUCUCUCUCUCCCUCUCUCUCUGCCCUUCCUCGUCUCCUUUUGUUUA